GUCAGGGCUUCCCCAGUGGCGCAGUGGUUGAGAGUCCGCCUGCCAAUGCAGGGGACGUGGGUUCGUGGGUUCGUGCCCCCGUCCGAGAAGAUCCCACAUGCUGCAGAGCAGCUGGGCCUGUGAGCCAUGGCUGCUGAGCCUGCGCGUCCGGAGCCUGUGCUCCACAGCAGGAGAGGCCACGACAGUGAGAGGCCCGCAUACCGCAAAAAAAAAAAAAAAAAAAAAAAAAUCUAAUAGUCAAUAAUUCCAUGACUUUACAUUUGUUCUUGUAGAAGCACAUAAUCAUUAUGUCUCACAGGUAAUUGAUUUAAUGUUUGGUAGAUUGGUUAGUUGGUUGGCUGGUUUACAGUUAAGUGAUCAGGGGGCACUGGUGACUCAACUAAAUCUACCUUAUUAAAGCACGUAAAAGAGAUACGAUAGGAACAAAUGAAGAGAUCUUAAAACAUUACCAACCUAAUUUUAUUUUGGUGGGUGAGAGACCAUGUAUCUUUUUAACCACCUCUUUUGGGAUGUCUUACUUGUAGGUCUGGAGUGUGGAGUGGUUGCCUGACCUGUUCUGACCCCUGGCAUUCUGUGAGUCCUAGGUGCAACUGGGCUGAGCAGUUUCAGCUUCAUAAACAAAGGAAAUGACUAACCAUUUACUGUUUCCUCUAACUGCUGGGAGCCUCUGCUGGGCUCUGGCAUUCCUGCUAGUUUUGAAGCGAUAACACUAGAGUAUUCUCCUGACAGAUCCCUGAAAGUCUCUAAUUUUAGAACUAGAAAGGGCAGUAAAGAUCAUUAACCUCUCCCCUCUUAUUACAGAUAGGGAAACUGAGGUGCUUAAGAUGAAGUGACCUUGCACAAACUUCAAGAGUUGGUUACUUGCAGCACCUGAACUAACACUAAAGUACCCACCCAGAGUCUUUGACUAGCCUUCCCUUCAGCCAUGAGGCCUCAUUGUAAGCACUGUAUUUUCCAGCUGUUUCUAGGACAGUCUGGUUUAUAGAGACUAACUUCCAACUGAUGAUCCCUCCUCCCCUGGCCCCAGAACUCUCAGUCUGAUCAAACCAAGCAUUGUUGUUAGGUCUUACAGCAACUAAAGAAAAGAAAGAUUCUGGUAAUUAAAGAAGAUACCCAGAGGCCAGAGAUAUCUCUUUCUCCUGAAACACCUGGGAUACGUUACCUUAGAGACAACUGAGGUUAUAUAUUAUAUAACUAACAAACUGGUUAUAUAAUACCAAAUGUGUGUGUGCAUAAACUGGUUUUAUGCAAAGUAUCUAAAACAAUUUUUUAAAGAGGAAAUGAUAGAUUAUAGUUUGUGGUUCAUGAAAAUUAUGACCUGUGGACCCAGAGCAUUGCUAUAUUCUGUAAAGCCUGUUUCAAGGCUGUACCUGAGGGAUCUGGACCUAGUUCAUGGUUUAAAACAGCUUGUUACUUCCGUUAGGGAGCAUUUAAGAAAUUUAAGGGGACAUUUUUUUGUUGCUAUAGUAAUUAGAGGGAUUUUAGUGGGAGGGACGAGGGAUGCUCUAAGAUCUGUUUUUUAGGAAACAGUCUCUCACAAUGAAAACUCAUUCUGUGUAUUACACAGCUCUUCUUUAUGGAGCUGAACUUUAAGUUGAUUAAAAAUGUGUUUAUAAUCUCUGCAUCUAGAACACAGACACUGAAUUUUCCUUUUCACAGCUUUGCGAUAGACUGAAUUUUCUAGGACUAAAACUACAGUGCAAUCAAGGGAAGACUUUUGUUUUGUCCAGAAAAUGUUGAAGUGUUUAUCAUAAUUUUAGAAAAUUUAGCUACUUAUGGCAAGCCUGCUUAUAUUAUAUGAGUGAUCAGUACACAAUACUUGUAUCAGUUGAAUAAACAUGUGGAUAUUCCUUAUAGCUUGAUAUAUGGAGAUUAAUUCUGUAACUUCCAUCACCCAAGAGAAAGUUUCCCAAAAGAAAAAUUAACUUUAACUGAAACAUAUAUAAUGUCUGGAGCAUUAAGGUGAAUGAUAAGAUUAUGUGUUUCAAGCUAAUAAGAAUUUAUGUCCAGGAAAUAGAAAUGAUAUACCAUAAGAAAGAUUACGUAUAAAAAGAUAAUAUUUUAACGUCUCCUUGUUCUCCAAAAAUACCACUGACCUACUAGUAAAGAUGCAAGGCUCUUAUCAUGUCCUCAGUAGCUAUUUUUUCUCUGCCUUCAACAUAUCACAUAUCCUUUAUUUUUUUUUUUAAUAUUUAUUUAUUUAUUUUGUCUGUGCUGGGUGUUAGUUGCGGCCUGCAGGAUCUUUUGUUGUUUUUUUUUUAGUUGCAGCAUGCCGACUUCUUAGUUGUGGCAUGCAGACUUUCUUGGUUCACAUAUCCAUUAUUUGAUAAGUAGUAUUAGCCUAUCAAUUAUAAGUGGUUAAUGUGAUGUAAAAUGUUCUUAUUUCUCAGGAACACCAUUUGUAUUUUUUUAUCCAUGGUCUGACUUUGUGGAGUAAGGAGAAACAUAUUGUCAUUCACAUAAGUUUCCUGUCAGAAUGACACUAAUCGUUGAUAGUUCUUACAGAAAUAAAAUUUUAUAGGCAAUCAUUGUCAGCCUAUUCAGUCACAGAGAGGUGGAUUCAGGUCCCAUGGUUCGUAAUCAGUAGUGACAGAAAGAAGAGUGAAAUUGAUUAGAGAUUAAAAACACUGAUAUUCCAGCAGUCAGAAGAGGAACUGAAAAGAAACAGACAAUCAUAGGGAAAGGAACAAAAAACAUGUUCAAAGUUUAGAAAUUGGAUACUAUCAAGUGCUGAUGAAGAUGCGGAACACUAAUUAUUCUCCCUCAUUUUCCCAAG